rnacentral:tRNA from 1 species
GCAGCAGUGCGAGCAAAUGGUAGCUCGCCCGCCUGGAACGCGGGUGCUCCGUAAGGGGUUGCAGGUUCGAGUCCUGUCUGCUGCGCCA